rnacentral:rRNA from 1 species
CCUACGGGAGGCAGCAGUGGGGAAUAUUGGGCAAUGGAGGCAACUCUGACCCAGCAACGCCGCGUGAAUGAUGAAGGUCUUCGGAUUGUAAAGUUCUUUUCUAAGGGAAGAAGAAAGUGACGGUACCUUAGGAAUAAGCCUCGGCUAACUACGUGCCAGCAGCCGCGGUAAUACGUAGGAGGCAAGCGUUAUCCGGAAUGACUGGGCGUAAAGGGUGCGUAGGUGGUUUGACAAGUUAGUAGCGCAACUCCGGCGCUCAACUUCGGAACUACUACUAAAACUGUUGGACUGGAGUGCAGGAGAGGCAAUCGGAAUUCCUGGUGUAGCGGUGGAAUGCGUAGAUAUUAGGAGGAACACCAGUGGCGAAGGCGGAUUGCUGGACUGUAACUGACGCUGAGGCACGAAAGCGUGGGGAGCAAACAGGAUUAGAUACCCCAGUAGUC